GCCAGGGUGGCAGAGUGGACUAAUGCGGUGGCCUCGAGAGCCACUGUCCUGAAAAGGACUCUCAGGUUCGAAUCCUGAUCCUGGCG
rnacentral:tRNA from 1 species